CGACGCGCCCUGCGUGAACACGGGGUUUGAAAUGUGCAGAGACUCGGCUAAGCUAGAUGAGAAAGAGAGUUCACCUGGUUUUGUUCUGCAUUACUUCCUGUCACACACAGAAGACCCAUGUCAGCGGCUAUGGCGAAUGAUACCGCGUGGAUGACGACGUGGAAUAUGGACACAAAUCCCAGCAACAGAUGCUGUGGUGUAGAUGUCAUGGAAGGUCCUCUUCCCCCUCUCCCAGGCAGAACUCCGAGCUCCAUGACAGAAUGACAUGAGCUCCUUCAUUCUUUAAGUCUGGAAAUUGGACAGCUUAUGCUUACAUGGGAUGACCCAAAUAUAUCCUGCCAGCAAAAGUAGGUGGAGGAAGAAGGACCCCAAAACUGGCAGCUUAAUACCAGAACACUCUGUCAGCCCCACAGCAGCAGACACUGCAGUCACUGGUACAGCUCUUUGUGGACCUUCACUAGUUGUGCACAUCACCAGUCACUGAGCUGCUGCAGAAUGACCUACAUUGACCCGAUGUUACCCAGUGCUGGAAAACGAUCUCCAGUAGUGAAUUCUUUAAGGAUCCAAACCUCUCCCUUCUUAUUUGAUGAUUGAAACAUCAGCUUGCAGCCUCGUGCACAGCGAGGAAUCGGACAAGAUUUUGCAUCAGAAGAAAUAUCCAAAGUGGUGGGGAGCAUCAUGACCAACCUUGGAAGAUCUGUGUCAUUGGCUUAACGUCAACAUUUUCCUUCACUUUUACCACAGCAACAAUCACCCAGACAAAUACUGUAAUAAAAUGGCACAAACUUGUAUCAUAUUUCUUGCAGUUCUGAUUUUUGGGUCAUAACAUCCAGCUCUCAAAUAGCUGAAUUAAAGCAGCAGAGGGUUCAUUAAUCACUUUUGCUGAAAGUGUUUUGCAGAGGUGACAGCAUCUGGACUCCUAAGAACGAUUACAGUUUCAGUGAAUGCCUUGCAUCAUCAGAGGCAGCUCAUUUUAAAUAUCUGCUUGUUCUGUUGUUUUGUCAUCCAGCAGGGUUAGAAGCUGGUUUGCCUGGCACUAUGAUGUGUAUGUAUUAUUGUAGGGUCUACCUUACAAUAUAAAGUGGCUUGAGGUGACUGUUGUUGUGAUUUGGUGCUAGAUAAAUAACAUUGAAUUGAAUUAAUCUGUAUUCAGAUAUUUAUAUACCCAGGAAACGGAGAAAGUAACUGUAUAGUUGUAACAUUGAAGAUUCUCCGCAACAUCUGUGCAGGAAGCAAACCUGAGAUGGUUGGUGUUAAACUUAACAAUAUCCUGCUGUUCACCCGGUUAGCUGUAACUAUACUGAUAAUGAAAUCACUAGUGUAUUUUUACACCUUUAGAUACUGAUUUACACUGGCUCUGCAGGUUUGGUGUAUCUGUAAAGUAUCAGUGGUUUACACAUGGAUUUCUUUUGAAUAAACUAUAAUUGGUAACUGGGGAACCGACAUAUGUAAUGUAGGUAUUUGGCACCAGUACAGAUCAUAUUACUGUGGUAUCGGCCAGAUAUGAAUAGAUUAUAGAGAACUGGCUUCUUUAUUUACAUGAACCAAAGAGUUUU